CCCUUGGAAGCAGGUCUGGAGC
rnacentral:miRNA from 1 species